rnacentral:rRNA from 1 species
CCUACGGGUGGCUGCAGUAGGGAAUAUUGGUUAAUGGGCGAAAGCCUGACCCAGCAACGCCGCGUGAGCGAUGAAGGCCUUCGGGUUGUAAAGCUCUUUUGACAGGGAUGAGGAAGGACAGUACCUGUGGAAUAAGUCUCGGCUAACUACGUGCCAGCAGCCGCGGUAACACGUAGGAGACAAGCGUUAUCCGGAUUUACUGGGUGUAAAGCGCGUGCAGGCGGUAGGAUAAGUUGGAUGUGAAAGCUCCUGGCUUAACUGGGAGAGGUCGUUCA